AAUAAACAAAACUGCUUGGUGUGAAACACUGCUGAAAAGUAAACUAAUUAUUUGGGACUGGUGAUAAAACUGAAAAGAAAGUCAUGCUUUUUGAGAACUUAAGGAUUUACAUAGGUCUCAGCCGAUGAUAAUCUUAUGGAGCUCAGGUGCAGUGCAGGUGGAGAAAGUAGAGAGUGUGGCCAUGCAGUUUGGAAACAGCUCUGUAUUAUUUCUUUUCUGAUGAACAGGGGCUGUUGUUCUGGCAACUUCCAAACUGUAUAAUCACUGCUCUAUUUGCACUUGGUGGGUAGAAGUCAGGGAUACUGUCAAACAUCCUACAAUGCACAGCUCUUCAGUCCAAAAUGUCCACAGUGCCAAAGCUGAGAAAUCCUGAUGUACACAUAUAGUGUGCUGAACACUGAAUGCCAGAAUAUAUAUAUUGCUUGCAAGGCUGGGAAAGGUGCUGGAUAGCUUUAAUCAAACAUGGAAGAUGACUCAGAGAAUAUAAAGAAGUUGACAGAUAUCAUAGUUGUAGCCUCCCACCCACCCAAGACACCCCAAAGCUGUGAGAAAUCUGAUGAAGGCAGAGGGUGGUCCUAGCAUAGAGGGAGGGGAAUGGUAGCUUGAGGACUACAGGGCUAUGGACCUCUAGGAUAGGCUAGACUGGGGAAAGAUUUCUAGUUGUGCCCUUUCUUCCUCCCUCAUGUAGAUCUUUAGGGCACUGUAGCUAUUAUGGGCGAAAAAGGCAGCCCUGGAAGCCUAAAGCCAUCUUGGGGAACCCAGGCUAAAUUAGGGGAGUGGAGCCAGG
rnacentral:lncRNA from 10 species